AUGUGGGUGGAUUUACAGCUUAUUAUGAUGAGUAAGCUGCUACUCAAAACUGGAUUGCCUUUGUUUUCACUUGAGUUAUGGAUCGUGCUUACAUUUCAAAACAUUGUGAAUGGCAGACAUAUGCUAUUCAUUUUAAAUAAGCACGGCUUUUUACAAGCAAUGUCAUGGCAAGCAUCGCAAGAUCAGGAGCCGAUGCAUUCAGUGAAGUUUGUUGAAUCUUUGUUUUUCAUGUAUUUAUCCUCAGUUUCUAUCAUUUCUUUUCUUAGGGUAAUUUAUAUCAAUUCUAGUAGCACGAAAAACAUAAAUUUAAAGGACUACUAG
rnacentral:rRNA from 1 species